rnacentral:lncRNA from 1 species
GCUGUACAUGGGGAACGACUGGAUGCUGUCCUGGUGGCUGAAUACCUUGAAUUCUAUCUGAGGGUUUUGUUUCAUUGUGGACAAGGAGGUUAGAGCUACCUAAUUUAUUUGCAAGUUACUUUUUUUUUUCAUGGUUAUGACUAGUACCAGUGUCUUAAUAACUGCAAGUGUAUUUUGAUAAAGCAAGCUAAAAUUUCAGGGUUUCUAAAAACCAAAGUGAAUGGCAACAUGUUUACCACAAUUAUCACAGCAAAGGUCUGGAAGUGGCCUAAGCUCUCAGAUGCAUGGAGGAAGGACUUGGCUACAGGGCUGUCUGCAUCACCCUCCAAGCCUGAGAUGUGGGCUCCUAACACCCCAUGUUUGAUAGGAGCCUUUAGUGACCUGCGUGCUGUCUCCUUAUCAUUCUACUGUACAGAGUCUAAUUCGCAUCACAGGAACAUACACUUCAGGUUUAGAAAAGCCUGUCUGUCUUCCUCCAGGGCCAUAGAAGCAGGGGAAGGAGGAGGAUUUCAAAAAGAGGUUUAUUGACUUUAUAGUUCUGGAGACAAAGAAGUUCAAGAUUGAGUGGCUGUAUGUGGCAAGGACCUCACACUGUCAUGACGUGAUUAAAGGCUUCACACAGUGGGGGUGCGUGUGAGAAGAGUGUGCGGGCUCCUGCAGAAGAGAGGAGGGAGAGGGUGAGCGAGAUGCUUCAUGACAACUUGCUCUCUCAGUGACUGACCCCUGCUCACAGGAAUACAUUAAUCCCUCAUUAGUGCAGAGCCCUCAUGACCUAAUUACCUCUUGAGUAAGUCAGCUUUGCCUCACUGUGAUCCAAAGACCUGGCAAGAACAACUUGGAGGAGGAAAAGUUUAUCUGGGGUUCAUGAUUUCAAAGGUUCAGUCCACGAUUGGCCAGCUCCAUAGCUCUGGGCCACAGGUGAGGCAGAAGAAUGUCAUGUCAAAAGGGUGUGGUGGAGGAAAGUUGUCCCGUUUAUGACAGUCAGGAAGCAGAGAGCUUGCUCACCAGGGACAAAUAUAAACCCCAAAGACAUUCCCCCAGUGUCCUCCUUCAUUUUGCCACAUCCUACCUGCCUAUGGUCACCACCCAGUUAAUCCAUUCAAGUGAAUUGAUCCACCCAUUAGGUUGCAGCUCUCCUAAUCUAAUCAUUUCACCUCUAAAAAUUCUUGCAUUGUGUCACGAGGUUUUGGAAGACACCUCCUAUCCAAAUCCUAACACCUCUUAGAGGCCCCGUGCCUCUCAACACUGACAUCGGCAAUCAGAUCUCACCAUGACUACUGAUGGGGACAUGCCACAUCCAAACCAUAGUGAGUCGCUUGCCCACUUCCUGGUGAUGCAGGUAGGGGAGUUACUUGUGGCAAUGACAAGACAUCUAUGCAGCAUUAGAGGUGACAGCCAGGCAUAGAUAAGCCUUCUCAUAGGAGCAAGGGGCCAAAUGCUGAGGUUGAGAAAGGGAGUGAGAUGCACGAUACAAUAUCAUUGAUAUAAACUAAAACACCCACCUCAAAGGAUGGAUUCAGGGCAGCCACCACAUUCCAGGAAGUCUACUCAGCAUAAGGGAGUAGAUGCCUCAGAUAGGAAGGAAGAUAGGGGGUGGGAGUAGAAGUUCAGGGAAGAAAAAACAGGUGAGACCAGAACACUGUUAGCACUGUCUAGACAAUGUCACUGAUGCCAUGAUUAGAUAUGCAGGCUUUGUUUGGAAGGAGGGGAGGGAAAGUGUAAUGGAAGCUGUGAGGAGACCGAGCCAGUCUCAAGGCAGUGUCCUCCCUUACCCAUCUGGGAUGCCUCUGGACCUGUGGUGUGGAGAAGCCUCAUUUUGGAUGAGUUGUGGGGAGAAAGGGAGGAAGGAUGAGGGAGUUUGUCUGUUGUCCUCCUGUCCUCUGGGCAGACGGGCACCUUUGCCUGAGUCUUUCUGGCAGCUUCUCAUCUCUGAGUCUGGAUGUGGCAGGGGGAGCCCAAGGCCCUGGGCGUGGCUGGUUGGCUGCCCCCAAGGUCCUGGGUGUGGCUGGUUGGCUGCCCAAGCAGAACUGCACACCGUGGGUGGGUGGGUGUGCUGAUGGACGGGCGUGUUAGUUAGCCUUUUGGUGCUGUGACCAAAAUACCUGACAUGAACAAUUUAAAGGAGGAAAGGUUUAUUUUGACUCAUGGUUUCAGAGGUCUUGGUCCCCCGAUGGCUUUCUCUGAGGCAGAAACAUCAUGAAGGAAGGGCAUGGUAUGGCUGAGGAACGCUUCUCAGCUCAGAGAAGUCACCAAGCUGAGGGAGUGUGUGUGGAGUGGGUGGUGGGCAAGGACAGCUAUAGUGCCUAACAUGCUUGCAGUCACCACCCAAGUAGUCCAUUCAAAUUAUGAAUCCAUCCCAUAGUAAUCCACUGAUGAUGUUAUAGCCCCCAGGAUCUAGUGAUUUCCUAAAACCCCAUCUCUGAGUCUUGUUGCUCUGGAGGGCCAUGCUUUCAAUACACAAGUUUUGGGGGACAUUCUAGAUCCAAACCAAAACAGCAGGGGAGCAUGAGGUCGAAGGUCAAGAGGGCCAGAGAAAAUGCCCAUUGAGGUCAACGUUGCCUGGUAUGAUGGAGAGCCAAGGAGUAUGCACUGAGUAAAGGAGUCCAACUCCCCUGGCUAGAGAGUAAGCACAAGGCCAGAGAGAGAGUGGAUUAGAUCAGACCGACAUGAACUCAAGUCCUUGAACAAAUUAUGGAACUGCCCAGGCUUACUUUCCCCAUCAACAGCAUGGGGAUUAGCAGAGUGUUUGCCUCACAAGAGAUUUGUGAUCUAAUGUGCCUGAUGCCUGGGUGACACUCAGCAAGCACAGGCCUGCCAUGGAACACCAGUUACUCGGCCCCACUCUGCAUCCAGGUUCAUGGCAAUUCCCAGCCUACCUUGUCCUGAUCUCCAUAGCAUUACAACAUAGGAUUGGAACUGGUGCCCCUCUCCCAGGGAGAACCCAUCCAGAAUGAUUGCUCCUUUCCAACCAGGCACACCAUUUAUUUUUUUCUCCUGAGGUUUCUGUGUUUUGACAUUUGAUUACAUCCAGCUUCACACUCAGAGUUCUCUGUCUACUAAACACUAAUUAUUUCAUGUGUCCUGAAACAAGAGACAACAAAAGCCACUUACUGGGUUAAUUGGGAUUUGUUUUACCCUCAGCCCACUUCUUGUGCAGGUGGGUGUAAUUCUAUCUCUGUUCAUUACUUCAGCCGUCUUUUUAUCAGGCAUUAUACAGGGCUUGCUGUGAUCGAGGUGCAGCGUGUGUAGGUGGGUUCCAGAAGACUCCGUCUCU